rnacentral:rRNA from 1 species
AUACGGAGGAUCCGAGCGUUAUCCGGAUUUAUUGGGUUUAAAGGGUGCGCAGGCGGCCAUUUAAGUCAGCGGUUAAAUCGUGGGGCUCAACCCCAUUCUGCCGUUGAUACUGGGUGGCUUGAUUGCGGUCGAGGUUGGCGGAAUUCGUUGUGUAGCGGUGAAAUGCAUAGAUAUGACGAAGAACACCGAUUGCGUAGGCAGCUGACCAGACCGCAAAUGACGCUCAUGCACGAAAGUGCGGGGAUCGAACAGGAUUAGAUACCCUGGUAGUCCACGCAGUAAACGAUGAUCACUAGCUGUUUGCGAUACACUGUAAGCGGCACAGCGAAAGCGUUAAGUGAUCCACCUGGGGAGUACGCCGGCAACGGUGAAACUCAAAUGAAUUGACGGGG